CCCUUAGACGCUCUAGGCGGCACGCGCGCUACAAUGGGUGGUAGAACGUGUAACUGCUCCCGAAAGGGAGGGUGAACCACGAAUACUUACCCGUGAAUGGGAUAGUUUGUUGCAAUUUUCGGACUUGAACUAGGAAUCCCUUGUAAGAAUGCUCAAGAAUAGCGUGCUGAAUACGUCCCUGCCGUUUGUACGCACCGCCCGUCGUUUCUUCCGACUGAUACUCAUUGUGAGUUGCAAGGAUUCUUAUUGAAAAAUUGCUGCGAAUGCUUUGUAUUGGAGGAAGAAAAAGUCGUAACA
rnacentral:rRNA from 1 species